UACGUAGGGUCCGAGCGUUGUCCGGAGUUACUGGGCGUAAAGGGCGCGCAGGCGGCGGUGCUGGCCCGGCGUGAAAGCCCCCGGCUCAACCGGGGAGGGUCGUCGGGGACCGCACCGCUUGAGGGCGGUAGGGGCCGGUGGAAUGCCUGGUGUAGUGGUGAAAUGCGUAGAGAUCAGGCAGAACACCUGGGGCGAAGGCGGCCGGGCUGGGCCGACCCUGACGCUGAGGCGCGAAGGCGUGGGGAGCGAACGGG
rnacentral:rRNA from 1 species